GAUGAAGAAGCAGCGAAAUGCGAUACGUAAUGUGAAUUGCAGAAUUCAGUGAAUCAUCGAGUCUUUGAACGCACAUUGCGCCCCCUGGUAUUCCGGGGGGCAUGCCUGUCCGAGCGUCAUUGCUGCCCUCAAGCACGGCUUGUGUGUUGGGCCUCCGCCCCCCGGCUCCCGGGGGGCGGGCCCGAAAGGCAGCGGCGGCACCGCGUCCGGUCCUCGAGCGUAUGGGGCUUCGUCACCCGCUCCGUAGGCCCGGCCGGCGCCCGCCGGCGACCCCCCUCAAUCUUUCCAGGUUGACCUCGGAUCAGGUAGGGAUACCCGCUGAACUUAAGCAUAUCAAUAAGCGGAGGA
rnacentral:misc_RNA from 1 species